CAGUCGCCACGGGAAUACGUAGGUGGCAAGCGUUGUCCGGAAUUAUUGGGCGUAAAGGGCUCGCAGGCGGUUUCUUAGUCUGAUGUGAAAGCCCCCGGCUCAACCGGGGAGGGUCAUUGGAAACUGGGAAACUUGAGUGCAGAAGAGGAGAGUGGAAUUCCACGUGUAGCGGUGAAAUGCGUAGAGAUGUGGAGGAACACCAGUGGCGAAGGCGACUCUCUGGUCUGUAACUGACGCUGAGGAGCGAAAGCGUGGGGAGCGAACAGGAUUAGAUACCCCCGUAGUCCCUGUCUCUUAUACC
rnacentral:rRNA from 1 species